CGCGGCCUAUCAGCUUGUUGGCGAGGUAACGGCUCACCAAGGCAACGACGGGUAGCUGGUCUGAGAGGAUGGCCAGCCACAUUGGGACUGAGAUACGGCCCAGACUCCUACGGGAGGCAGCAGUGGGGAAUCUUGCGCAAUGGCCUAACGGCCGACGCAGCGACGCCGCGUGUAGGAUGAAGCUCUUCGGAGUGUAAACUACUGUUGCCCGGGACGAAUAGCUCGAUUAAUCGAGCCUGACAGUACCGGGUGAGGAAGCACCGGCUAACUCCGUGCCAGCAGCCGCGGUAAUACGGGGGGUGCGAGCGUUGUCCGGAAUCACUGGGCGUAAAGGGCGCGUAGGUGGUUUGAUAAGGGUGUGGUGAAAGUCCGGGGCUCAACCCCGGAUCUGCCGUGCCGACUGUCAAACUCGAGGACUGUAGAGGCAGACGGAAUUCCGGGUGUAGCGGUGGAAUGCGUAGAGAUCCGGAGGAAGACCGGUGGCGAAGGCGGUCUGCUGGGCAGUUUCUGACACUGAGGCGCGACAGCGUGGGGAGCAAACAGGAUUAGAUACCCUGGUAGUCCACGCCGUAAACGAUGGGUACUAGGUGCCUGGGGGAGCGACCCUCUGGGUGCCGGCGCUAACGCAGGAAGUACCCCGCCUGGGGAGUACGG
rnacentral:rRNA from 1 species